rnacentral:rRNA from 1 species
CACGUAGGGCGCAAGCGUUGUCCGGAAUUAUUGGGCGUAAAGAGCUCGUAGGCGGUCUGUUGCGUCUGCUGUGAAAACCCGGGGCUUAACCCCUGGCUUGCAGUGGAUACGGACAGACUAGAGGUAGGUAGGGGAGAAUGGAAUUCCCGGUGUAGCGGUGAAAUGCGCAGAUAUCGGGAGGAACACCGGUGGCGAAGGCGGUUCUCUGGGCCUUACCUGACACUGAGGAGCGAAAGCGUGGGGAGCGAACAGG